rnacentral:rRNA from 1 species
CGCGGCGGCGCGCUUAAUGCAUGCAAGUCGAACGUGCCUUCGGGCAAGUGGCAGACGGNUGAGUAACGCGUGAGUAACACACCCUUCGGUGGGGUAUAGCCUCGGGAAACUGAGGGUAAUCCCGCAUACGAUCCCAGUGCUUUGGUGUUGGGAUGAAAGCCUUCGGGCGCCGGAGGAGUGGCUCGCGUCCUAUCAGGUAGUUGGUGGGGUAACGGCUCACCAAGCCGAUGACGGGUAGCUGGUCUUAGAGGACGAUCAGCCAGAGGGGGACUGAGACACGGCCCCCACUCCUACGGGAGGCAGCAGCAGGGAAUUUUGGGCAAUGGACGAAAGUCUGACCCAGCGACGUCGCGUGGGGGAUGAAGGCUCUAGGGCUGUAAACCCCUUUUCCGAGGGAAGAGGAAGGACGGUACCUCGGGAAAAGUCCGGCUAACUA